UGCUGACUCUCUUUUCGGACUCAGCCCGCCUGCACCCAGGUGAAAUAGCCUUGUUGCUCACACAAAGCCUGUUUGGUGGUCUCUUCACAUGGACACAAGAGACAUUUAGUGCCGAAGACCCAGGUCAGAGGGACUCCUUCAGGAGACCAGUCCCCUGUCCUCACCCUCACUCCGUGAAGAGAUCCACCUACAACCUUGGGUCCUCAGACCAGCCAGCCUAAGGAACAUCUCACCAAUUUCAAAUUGUGACCCCACUGGAAACUGGACUAUCCAACUGGUCCAAGGCUCUGACUGAUGGCUUCCCAGAUCUUCUUGGCUUACUGACUGAAGACUGAUGCUGCCCGAUGGCCUUGGAAGCCUCCUGGACCAUCACAGACACUUUGGGUAACUCGUACAGUGGAGGGAUACAAUUGGACACUGGUUAUUUUACCAAGGCUUUGAUUGGAAUGGCAUACUUUCAGAUAUAAAUCAACUGCUUUAAGGAAUCAAAGUUGACUUAUAGAGCCAUAAAAGCCCCUUGGGAAAGCUGGCCUCAUGCCUUGUCCACACAGUUCCUGUACAGUUUCCUGACCUGUGGUAAGUAAAGCAUGUCACUUUCUGGGCCAGGUGUGGUGCCUUAUGCCUGUAAUCCGAGCAC